GCCAUGGUGGCGGAAUUGGUAGACGCGCCGGUCUCAAAAACCGGUGAGGUAAUACUCGUGCCGGUUCGACCCCGGCCCGUGGUA
rnacentral:tRNA from 1 species